rnacentral:rRNA from 1 species
UACGUAGGUGGCAAGCGUUGUCCGGAAUUACUGGGUGUAAAGCGCGUGUAGGCGGCAGACCAAGUCGGCGGUGAAAGCGCCCGGCUCAACUGGGCGAGGUCCGUGGAAACUGGUCAGCUGGAGGACGGUAGAGGCGAGUGGAAUUUACGGUGUAGCAGUGAAAUGCGUAGAGAUCGUAAGGAAGACCAGUGGCGAAGGCGGGUCUCUGGACAGUUCCUGACACUGAGGCACGAAGGCCAGGGGAGCAAACGGG